GCGGAAGUGGUGAAAUUGGUAUACACGCUACUUUGAGGGGGUAGUACCCGUUAGGGUGUGCGGGUUCGAGUCCCGCCUUCCGCACCC
rnacentral:tRNA from 1 species